rnacentral:rRNA from 1 species
CCCGCACAAGCGGUGAGCAUGUGGUUUAAUUCGACGCAACGCGUAAAGAACCUUUACCUGGGUUUGACAUCCCGAUCGUACUCUAUGGAAACAUAGGGGUCAGUUCGGCUGGAUCGGUGACAGGUGCUGCAUGGCUGUCGUCAGCUCGUGUCGUGAGAUGUUGGGUUAAGUCCCGCAGCGAGCGCAACCCUUGUCCUUAGUUGCCACCAUUCAGUUGGGCACUCUAAGGAGACUGCCGGUGUUAAACCGGAGGAAGGUGGGGAUGACGUCAAGUCCUCAUGGCCCUUAUAUCCAGGGCUACACACGUGCUACAAUGGUCGGUACAACGAGUUGCGAGUCGGUGACGGCGAGCUAAUCUCUUAAAGCCAAUCUCAGUUCGGAUUGUAGGCUGCAACUCGCCUACAUGAAGUCGGAAUCGCUAGUAAUCGCGGAUCAGCACGCCGCGGUGAAUACGUUCCCGGGCCUU